GAUGAACGCUGGCGGCGUGCCUAAUACAUGCAAGUAGAACGCUGAAGGAAGGAGCUUGCUCUUUCCGGAUGAGUUGCGAACGGGUGAGUAACGCGUAGGUAACCUGCCUGGUAGCGGGGGAUAACUAUUGGAAACGAUAGCUAAUACCGCAUAACAGUAGUUGUUGCAUGACAAAUAUUUGAAAGGGGCAAUUGCUCCACUACCAGAUGGACCAGCGUUGUAUUAGCUAGUUGGUGAGGUAACGGCUCACCAAGGCGACGAUUCAUAGCCGAGCAGAGAGGGUGAUCGGCCACACUUGGACUGAGACACUACCCAGACUGCUACGGAAAGCCACAGUAGGGAAUCUUCUGCGAUGGACAGAAGUCUGACCGAGAAACGCCGAGCGAGUAAAAAAGGAUUUCGGAUCGUAAAUGUCGGUUGUAGGAGAAGAAAGAGUGUGAGAGUAAAAAGUUCACACUGUGACGGUAUCUAACCAGAAAGGGACGGCUAACUACGUG
rnacentral:rRNA from 1 species